CCUGUCUCUACUAAAAAUACAAAAUACAAAAAAAAUCAGCCUGGCAUGGUGGCGGGCGCCUGUGGUCCCAGCUACUCUGGAGGCUGACGCAGGAGAAUGCCGUGAACCCGGGAGGCGGAGCUUGCAGAGAGCCGGAGAUCACGCCACUGCACUCCAGCCUGGGCUACAGAGCAAGACUCCGUCUCAAAAAAAACCAAAACAAAACAAAACAAAAAAAACACCCAGUUUUUCCAUGGAGUGAUAGAAUUUAAUUGAUGAGCUUGACGAGCUUAAUUACAGAAGGGAGAGCUCCAAAAUACAUGAGAUUUUCCAUGUCUACUCUGGUGCCAUUACUGGAAGAUCCUUCCAUUUUCUACAAGGGAUUUUUACCUAUAUUGUUGAGAAGUGGAAUCCCCUUUGGUAGCUCUGUACCUUCAGCUUCUCCCUCUGUGGUAUCCAUUCCCUGCCACAACUAUAGAAUCUGCAAUCUGGUUUGACCUUGGAAGUCCUCAUGGAGAAAAUUGCAUCUGAGCUGGACCAUGAAAAAUGAGUAGGAUUUCAACAGAUAACAAUGGAAGAGAGAAAGCAAAUCAACCACCUUUCUUCGCUCAUCUGACAAAGUGCCUGAUUCCAGCCAGAGACUAUGUAAGCCCUUGGAGUGAUAUCAGUCUCUAUUGACUGAAUGCUAACCCAUGGAAUUAGAUAUCCAUGUGAGUCUAUUCUACACAUCCAUAAGAAAACCUUAUACCGAGGCUUACUGGUUUUAAAAGAGGAGAUGUCAAACUAAAGAAUGGAGAAGAAUUUUCAAGGAGUGGGAAAAUGCCACUACCCUGCUCAGAACCUUCACUGCAACCCAGACUGUGCCUGUAUCUUAGGAGUGCAGAUGAUUGAGAUGGUCCAAGGGUAUCCGGAAGAGAGAGGAGAGGACCCAACAGCAUGGAUGGUGCAUGCUGAGCACUUCUCAAAGGAAAACCCAUGGCAGAGGAUUCG
rnacentral:lncRNA from 1 species